CAAGUCGCACGGGCGUAGCAAUACGUCAGUGGCGAACGGGUGAGUAAUGAAUCGCUAACGUACCCCGGACUCCGGGAUAGCUGCCCGAAAGGGCAGGUAAUACCGGUUGACGUACCCUUAAGGCAUCUUGAGGGUCCCAAAGGUCCGCCGGUCUGGGCGCGGGCGAUUUCGUAUCAGCUAGUUGGUGAGGUAACGGCUCACCAAGGCGACGACGCGUAGCCGGACUGAGAGGUCGGCCGGCCACAUCGGGACUGAGACACUGCCCGGACUCCUACGGGGGGCUGCAGUAACGAAUCUUCCCCAAUGCACGCAAGUGUGAGGGAGCGACGCCGCGUGUGGGACGAAGUCCUUCGGGAUGUAAACCACUGUCAGGGGAUACCAAGUUCUGAGGAUCCCCAGAGGAAGAGGCGGCUAACUCUGUGCCAGCAGCCGCGGUAAGACAGAGGCCUCGAGCGUUAGGCGGAAUCACUGGGCUUAAAGCGUGUGUAGGCGGGCCCGUAAGUGUCUUGUGAAAUCCCACGGCUCAACCGUGGAACUGCUGGGCAUACUGCGGGUCUUGGGCCAACUAGGGGCAGCCGGAACAAGCGGUGGAGCGGUGAAAUGCGUAGAUAUCGCUUGGAACGCCGAAGGUGAAAACAGGCUGCUGGGGUUGCGCCGACGCUGAGACACGAAAGCCAGGGGAGCAAACGGGAUUAGAUACCCCGGUAGUCCUGGCCCUAAACGAUGUCCACUAGAUCGCGGAGCGGUUUGACCCGCCCGCGGUCGGAGCAAAAGUGUUAAGUGGACCGCCUGGGAAGUA
rnacentral:rRNA from 1 species